rnacentral:sRNA from 1 species
GGUCAUCAUAGCUAAGGGAUAUGAAACUGAACUCGU